GAUUAAAACCAGGCAUCUUCAGUCCCAGUAAGACACCUCAAGCUCACAGCCAUCUCUUCUGUGGCUGAAGGGUACACUACACAACAAACAGAUUGUGUGAAAGGCCCAACAGAACAGAUCAAAAAACCAACCCAAAGGGCACUACUAGAUAUGUUCAAGUUUUGGAAUGCUAUAUGAUAUAGCAUAUAUAGAUACGUGAGCAUAUAUGGAUAUUCUGAAGUUUUGGAAAGCACAGGUAGGCUUCCAGACAAAACUGUCGGUAACAAUUUGAUCACAUAACACAAACUAUUAAAUCAUCUUUCCCCAGGAAGCCAACCUUAACACAAAUUUGCUUCCUGAUACUUAACAUCAUCCAAAGAAACUGAAGAAAACUCUUUCACAAUGCUUCCAGUUUGCACAGAACACCUAUCUCACAGCAUUCAAUGUAUGAAGUGCUUAAAAGUAAGAAAAUAAAGAGAUGACAGAAUCUAAGGUAAGUGCAUUUGAGUCUUUAAUGUUUCAUUUUUACCAGUACGUUGAUUCAAACAAAAGCAAAAGAAAAAACACAUCAACUUUUCCUUUAAAACACCAUAUAUCUUGAAUGAAUUUUUAAACAGUUCAUAAACUGUUAUUCAAUAAUACUGAAGUUGGAAAACGUUAAGACUUACAGUAAGGAGUUGGGAGAUCAUAAAAGCUGAAAUUUUCCACAAACUAAUAUUAAAAUGUAUUGUUGCCUUCAUGGGAUUAAAAACUACUACAUUAUCCAAACAUACCUUGAAGCUUUGAAUAGAAAACUACUUCAAUCUGAAACAAACUUUAUAGCCCUGCUUUCUAAGUCUUCCUCAGCUGAACAACUCAACCUGAACACUGAUUUAAAAAAAUAUUCCAUCUUAGGAAGAAGUUAAAAUAUAUAUAUUUCUUACAGCUCUGCAAUGAAAGACCAUAAGCUUAUUACAUAUCACCACAUUACCUAAGAACAAAAAACCAUUAUAAUCCCAAUACCAAUUGCAUUGUUCAAAAACAUGCUGCUUUACUCUACCAAAAGGAUGUCCACCAACACACAGACUCCCUCGUUCUUGUGAGGAGACAAAUAACCUCGUCCUGUUAUUUGAAUGAAAGCAAUGGAAAGCACAGAUCAGAGAUCAACUCCUUCCCCAGUUUUGAUCUGUACUUCAUAUUAGGAUCAUUUUUAAUGAAAUUUCUAAACAAAAACAAACAAACAAAAAAAAACCCAUAUCCAGCUUCCCAAGGCUGGCCCUUCAUUCACAUAACUUCUGAUGGUAACUGGAGAACUUCCAGUUUUAUACAGGAAAUAAAUCAGUUCUUUGUGCAUUAGCUGCAAAAUAGCUACUCAUUUCUAAAGACCAGUCUUCCCAGAACUUGAUUUUUGUGCUCCUUCUAUUCAUAACAAGCAUAUCUACAGACUUUCUACAGGCACUAUUUUAAUGUCAUGUGUGUUUCCUUCCCAAUCCUAAAUGCUUCAUCAGUAAGUCCACUGAGGGCAUCUGUGAUGUAAGAAAAUAUGUUUAGUCAUGGAACUGUUAUACUGCCUGUACAUUUCAGCUGUGCUAUGUAAGGACGUGCACGGUGUCAGGAACCAGUCACCAUUUUCCAGCACUUACUAGACAAUGGAUGAGAUCAGUCUGACUGCAUAGCUCUUCCUCAGCCUGGUGAAGUGCACAGAGAUUAAAAUGGCUAUGACACAGGGACAUGCAACCAACAUAACAUCACAGUUUCUGUGUCCAAGCAUUUUACACUGCACUUGUUCAGGUUUUCUGAACAAGAUUUCUGUGCUUUUCUGAGCUCUACUCAGUAUAAUAUACAAGGUGGAAAAGUGAAAGAGGGAGCACAGUCAGAGAAUCAUAUAAGAAUAAUUAAUAGUAAGAAUCAUUAGCUAAAAACAAACAUUUACAAUGAACUUAAAAGUUAGGAACGAGGCUUAAACAAACAAAAAAAAGUACAAAACAAUGUUUCCUACCUAAUAGAUCGUGGUCCUGAUUAUGCAUUUGUUUUCUAGUCUGUUAAAGUCAACACAGAAUAAUCUGCACUCUGAAGUCAUUCAAUUCAACUUGCGAACAUACUCAAGUUUGCUUGUCAAGUACACCAUGCCAAGAACGAUGAUAUAGUUUAUGAAAUAAGAUUUUUAUGAAGAUAAAAAUGCACUUAACUUCUUAUACCUAAAGUAUUACCAACUUACCAUUACUUUUUGGUGUUUUUUCAAAUGUUUAUAAGCAGUCUUAUGGACUAACAUUGUCCCCAAAAAGGCUAGUCCACACUAACAACCAUUGUCAACAGGAAAUAAAAGAAAGCCUCAAAUGCAUAACUGUUCAGAUAAACUUUGCCUGUGCUAAUGAACAAUUAAACUAUCUAACCUUAGAACCAAGACCCGUGUAUUGUAGACCAAUGCCCAGAUUUUAUAGUUUCACAUGUAAAAGGCUUAAAUAAAGUGAAGGAUAAAAAGAUGCUCUCCUGUAUGUCUUUAUCAAUCUUCUGGUGUGCACAGAAAAACGUAUUUCAAAGGCUUACAGAUGUAGGCUGCAGGUGUCACUAGUUGUUGUGAAACAUCAUUUUCUAGGUUAAUUUCAUGAUCAGAAAAAGUGAUUGAAAUGAAUACUUUUAAACUACCUCUGAGGCCAAUUACCAUGUUUUCAGUGGUUUAGAAAACUGAAAAUGAAAGCCUAAGUCCAUUAGCUUACAGGCAAGACAAACAUUUUGUGUGUAAUCCUUUAAGGGCUAUGUAAAUGUUCUCUUGGACUUCUGGAUCAGACCCUUUGAUUUUUACAAAGAUGUUUUAUGUUCAUGUGAAUGCAUGCUAUUUUCUUGAGAAUAAUCUAAUCUGAAUAUUCUAACUGUUACUUCCUUUUUUUUGUAAUAAACACCAAUUAAUUCAAACUGCGUAAAAAAGAAUGUUUACUCACAAUAAGAACUGAACACUUACCACGAAAGGGACAGAAUGUUUAAACCUGUUUAGAAAAAGCUAUAUUGCCUCUAGUAUGCCAAGCUCAUACCUUUUUCACAGGGAUAAAGUGAGGUUAUUGGUAUGAAAGAUAUCUAGUACUUUGGUAUGAAAGAUAUCUAGUACUUGAACAAAAGCCCAUUUGGAGUUGAAACAGAAACGCAACAUUUAUAAGCCUAGAGAACAUCACUGCAACACACACACUUGACAAUCCAAACAGGCAAACUUCUUGUCACUUUACUGAAAAGAAAAUAGACAGAUUGUGUAAUAGUCACACCAGUGGGAAAAGAGUUCCAACUGAACUAAGAUAUUCUUACCAAACUGAUUCCCUCUUUACAGUCCUGCUUUUCCUUGAUCUAGGGAAUUAUCAUUUGAUGUAUUUAUUAUCUGUGUAAUGAAAAGCAAAGGCAAAAAAAAAAAAAUCACAUCUUUAACUGUUGAAAGUGAUUACUGUAUAAUCACAAGAGCUAAGACUAUUAAUAUGCAAUUAAAUUGAUAGGAAGGAGAAUAAGUGAUUACUUGGGCAAAUGGACAAACAGCAAAAGGGAUUAAGUAUCUGAUAACCGAAUUGCCAUUAACAAACAUCCACCAUCCUUUGACAGCAAAUAUAUUUAAACUGCCACAUUUGCUUUCAUUUUAUAUGAAACAAACUUUUAAAAAUAUGCCAAAAUAUCCUAUUGACAUCAUCUCAAUUCCAAAAGUGUUCCAAAUUGCAAAUGACAAUUUCAUAUUACAUUAUGCAAUUUUUAUUUGCUUUUCAGAAAAGUAAAAUCAUAAUUAGCCAACACGAUAUUAAAUAAAUUAAAUAAAACUGGAGAAAUGGGCUGACUCUGUAUUCUAAAAUGCUGUCAAUGAAUCUUCAGUUACGUCAUAAUAUCACCUCAGCUGCUUUAUAAAAGAAUUGAAGCCUUGAGAGGAAUAUUAUUUCUUCAAAAUUAUUCACAUUAACUUCCAAAAUAAUUCGCAGCCAUUAUUCUAUAAUUAUUAUUUCCUUAACUUCCAACUUACGUGAAUACUGAAGCUAAAAAAUAAAAUAAAAAAAAAAAAGUAUUAUUAAAUGAGCCCUUUCCAUUUAGCAUUUACUCCCUAAUUAAGGAAUGAAAAAGAAAGGUAAGUAAAAACCACUCAGUAAUUAUCUGCCUGAAGAUGAACAUUUUAGACGUGUCUAUACAUAUUACACUGAACAGGAAUAUUUCAAAACACUAACAAAUAUUUUUGAAUACAGCAACAGACCAAACUAGAUAACCAUCCUGUUUUGCUUCUCUUCUUGUCUGCAAAAUAACAGACUAUUUAAAAAGUAUUCUAAUACAACUAGUCACCUCCUGUUGCCUACCUGAAAGCCCAAAUUACUGCCUUUAUCCCUAUAACUAGCAUAGAAUGGCACUGUACAGACUGACAAGCAGAGUGAUAAUAAGCUUUUGUCUACAGUAUGUAACACUGAUAUUAUACUCAUCUACACCACGCAUUCAGAAUGUUGCUGUAUGUUAGUAACAGCAACUUUAUUUCUGAUGUUGCAGGAAGCACAUGAUAGUAUAAAAAAAAGAAUUUGGAACCUGUGCUGUUACUGUUAGCUUAGUAGCUGCAAAAAAAAAAAAAAAAAAAACAUUAAAAGGAAAGCCAGACUGCAAGGAAUCACUCCCCUUCCCCUCCUUACAUGGAAUGAAUUCAUUCCCUAUACAUGCAAAAAUCUUGCUGUUGAUAGGAACACUGGAUACAAAAUAAGCAGAUUAUAAAAUAAUGUAGAUAAGCUGACCUAAUAACCAUAUUAGUUGGGCACUAGUAUGUCCAAUAUUCCCAAGGAGUUCUUGCCACUUUACGGUAUCUUGUAACAUAAAGUAUAUAUAAUAAUAAAGCCAGGAAUUGAAAGCCCUAGGAUGUCUCUUCAUACUUCCAUAAGUCACUUCAAUAGCACAGCUCUCCAAAAUAAGUAAUUCAACAAUAAGGUAAAGAUCUGACACUGCAAUGCCACUCUAAACUCAGAAUAACUGGGUGAAGCAUUGCCAGCAUUAGUAAAUCUGUUCUUAAAUUGACAAUGCAUCACAUAAUAAAUACCAUACUCUUUGUACUGAACAUGUAAAAACCAGGAUGUUCAGAUUAUACAAGCUAAGGAUGUUACCAGAGUUCACAACUCUCCCAUUUCUGCAUUAGAACAUGCACAAAAUAAUUCUUAAUUUAUCUUAUUAUUUAUUUUAUAGGGAACUUUCUUACAGUAUGCAUUUAGUCAUAAUAAGUUCAAGACAAAACAUCAAUUACCUCUAAAGCAAGCUCACUAGAUCAGACCUGGAGAAAACUAAUGGAACUGAAAAAAAAACAAAAACCUACUGAACCCAGCACCAGAAGUAACACAAAUUUCUCAGUCACUUUCAUUAUCAUCUAUGUGGUAACAACACAAAUCAGAAUUAAACUGAUUUGUUCUCAGAAGUUUUACUCCGCUGUCUUUUCUGGCAUACGUUGCAUCUUCUGUUUUCCUAAUUGAUGGACAUCUCACCUUUACCCAGCUACUGUUGAAACCACCAGAAACUCUGGAACAAGAGAAACGCCAUUAAAAACCUGCAGAGCUAUCAAUCUACUAAAAGUAAAGUGUAAAGAAGCUGAUAAGCCUCAGCUCAGAGAACAGCACACCUAGCACUCAUGAGCAUCCUGUGGUCUAAAGGCUUCAGAAAGCUAAUCUUGGCUAAAAGCCCAAGUCAAGUCUGUUUCUGACUUCCUAGUUAAUCAAGAACAUGUACUCAAUAAAGCUACUGCAAACAACUACAAAACAAAGGAAGGGAUACUGCUAAUUUUUUUCAAAUAGAUUAAUGAAGAAUUUGUCUCUCUUAAUACAGUUUCCUGUUAUCUGAUAUGCAGUAACAUACAAUGCAACAGAUAUAGAAGGAAAACUGAACGCUAACUGCAAGUGAGGUCAUAAUAACAAUUAUGAAACACUUCUGACCCAUAUUCCAAAACUUCUAAUUUCAGAGGUCUAAAACUUCUCAAAAAGGACAAGACAGAAGCAGUAAAGUUACUGGUUUGAAGAUGCUAAAUUGUAGAACUAAAAAAUAAUACUCUUCAAACAAGUGUAUUUCGUACAACUCAGGUUUCAUUUUUUACAGGUAAAAUUCGGACAAACUUCUACUCGUUGUCUUAAGCUGUUCUGUAUUAACAAUAUUACUUAAGGAUAGAGUGCAUUUUACUUCUUUAAGUAAAAAUAUCUCAACAGAAGUACACAGUUACAAGUAUGAAGAUGAAGUACUAACAACACCCAAAUGUUGGCCUUUGUCUACAUGCCAGGCUGCAGCAGAAGUCCAUCCUCUACAGAAAAUUCUGUACUCAUUGAAGUGAUCCACUGACCUUACUUAAUAUAGACUAAACUUCAAUAUUUUAAAUUUGCAAUUACAGCACAAAAGUGAAGUGUUUAGAAGUACAAUUUUCAGGAUUAAAAUAUUUUACCUGGAAUAUCCUCCAAAUUAAAAAAAAAAAAAAAAAAGUUUCCUGCAUUUCCCGGUACAAUCUAUAGCCAUCAAGUACACUUGUAGUUCUAUUUACAUUUCUACUUCUAUUUAGCCUCUUCUUCUUUAUGAAAAAAAAAACAAACCUGUCAUUUCUUCAUCAUGAAAGCAAACAUUAAAACAAUACAUGGCCUCACAUAAUAAACUGCUAAGAACUAUUCCCCAAAGUAGAUUUAGAAAAAUAAAGAGAAGCAAUACAGUAACGCCUCAAGUAUUCUUCAAAUGGGGUGGGGGGAAGGAAGGGAAGAAAGAGAUAAUUUUACCAGUCUUAUUGGUUUAAAAAUAUAACUGACUCAAACCACAAACACACUCUAAGCAGUUAUUAGCAAACCAACUAUGUUACCUCCUCGUGGAGUUAAUCCAUUCUUCAUCAGACAUAAACUGAGCUGAAGUUCUGAAUAAAAUAAUUAUUCAAAAUGCUAAAGAUGAGAAUAUGACAGUCAAGGUUAACAGACGGGGGAGAAAAAAAGGACCAGUACUGACAAAUGGAGAAGUACCCUUCACGUAUGAGGUAUGUGAUGUUACAAAAUAAUAGGUGGUUUAAAAAAGCAGUCUCGAACACUUUUUCCCCAGUUAUUAGCAUUACAUACAAGUGCAAACAUUAUGGAAUCAAUUCUAUAUUGUGAUUAGCUGUUACUAAAAAAUUUCAACAGUUCAAUAAAAAAGGUAAGAACUAAUUAUAUUUAUGUUUGAGAGAAAUGCCCAACUAACCUGUUAUUUGAUACUAUAAACCUAACAAAUUCUACCUCAAAAUAUUCGAGUUUUUCAGUGAAAAGAGAAUGAUUAAACCUUAGGAUGCAAUUUGACUGAGGCCUUUUCUGCCUAACAUUCAGAUACAGAGAAAUAAACUACCACUUUACAACAAAGUUCUGUCAGAACAAGGUCAUUAAGAACUUGCCCAAGGUAGAUUUUCUGGCGCAUGGAAGGAGUGUGAGAAACACGCACCAGGCAGCCACCUGCUUUCAGCAUCCUGCAAUACUCCUUUCAGAGUUGACACCAUUUUGCCUCUCCACUUUCAGAUUUAAUCGCAUUCCUAACAAUGGGAACCACUACGACAGCUCAUCUGAACUUCUCCAGAUAAUUGGUAUUUUGAAUACUAGGAUACAUCUAUAGAGCUACCCACCUUCUGGUCCAAACAGGAAACAAAAUUUGAUAUCUUCAGAAAGAAGAAGUUAAAUAAAUCCAUUAACUUUAUCCUUGCCAAUAACAGUGCAAAUAGAUUUAAACCACAUAAGAAAUUUACAUCUUUCCACACAAUCACAAAGGGAGUUAAAACAGGGAAGAGGCUGAACAUUAAGGGAGAGCUACAGUAAGGUUUAAAACGAUAGUAGACUCUGAUAUGCUAAUCAAUAAAUCAAAAGUGAUAUUUGCUACAGAUUUUUUAUUCACCACAACCCAUACUUACAAUAAUAACAAAUUGGAAUUUAUUUGCAUUUCACGACAAGGAAAAAACAUGCUUUGCUUUUAAACUUGAACAAAAACCACGAAAUACAAAAAACAAUAAAAACGUGGAAUAUACCUUAUAUUUGGUCAUGGUGCUAAAAUGGUUGUUCCUGAAGAACACGCAGAGCUCUCCCUCCUGGACAGCUGAAGUCAACUCGCACAGCCCAUGGUACGUCAACUGCGUAGCCGUAUUAUUAAGGAACUGCUCAGCUACAAAGCCUAUAAAAGCAAUACAUACUUUUGUGUGUCUAUUACAUAUGCCUAAAAAUAUAGAAACCUAGCAGUCUUCUUACCCCAAUUUAUGCCGAGAAAAAUAUUUUUCAUGUGUCAUCACAGCCAAGAAAGAGAAAGCCUUACAAGUUUGUUUCUCAUAUUGUCUAACUAAAACUGAGUUAAAAACAAAUUCCACUUUUAAAGCUCACUUGCUGAAGUAUUUUACUUAUUACUCUUAAUUAAAACAGGACUUAAAGAGAUGUUCAUCACAACACCAUGCUUUUAAUAUGCAAAACAUCAUCUGAUUUAUCCCUCACAAGUGAUUGUUGAGUGUGAUUACAAAAUAAAGAUGGGAGGUUGAUGUAACAGGUUGACUGAAAACAAUGUCUUAAAAAGUAAAACAAAAAUAUCACGUGCCAAUACAUUUACCCUAUCAAGAUUCAGUAAUCCACAUCCCCUUUCUUCACGUACAGGCAGAAAUUACAUUGCAACAGAAAAAGAACCAAACAUGAGAACUCAGAGAAACAGCUGUGGAACGGAAACGUGGAAGGAAACUACUGCCAGUUAGUACCACAUUUCUCAAAGAAUACUAGAAGAAUCUACUACUCUACUCUACUCUCUCAGGACAGAUCAGAGAACAGCAGCUUUCAAGAACAAGGUAUGAAGGGGAAAAAAAAAACAAAAACAAACAAACAGGAAAAGAAAAUCAAGGCACGAUUCCAGCCCAACACCUCAGCAUUAAUUUGAGUGGUACAUUCCAGGGCAACUCCCUCCAUGGUUCAGAACAAUUGAUUACAUGAGUUCAACGUAUUUCAAUGUAGCAGAUGUUGAACCCAUACAAAGUUACUGUAUUUAAAAAACAAAUCACCAUCUAGAUUCACUCCUCUGAGAAGUCAUUUUUUUUCUGAACAGAUUUUAAAACAUCAGUUACCACAUUCAUUCUUAUUGACUCCAGUGAAAAUUCCGAAACACCUUCCCACCCCCAAAUAAAAUUCAAAUAACUUAUUUUCUGUUUGAUUAUGGGAGGGGAAAACCAAAGUUACCUGGGGAUCCACUAACCAUCCGUGGUACAAAGGGAUAUCAAGAAGGUCAAACACGAUGCAUUCCGGUGUGUAUUCAAACACUCGUACACCUGUAAACUUCACAUUGACAUCCAGACCCGUCUGUAACUUAUGCAGAAUCGCCAUUGCAUCACUCAUAUUCUGACAGCAGAAAGAAAAAGAAACCCAUGACCAAAUAGAGCUUUGUACACUUGGUGAUUACACAUCAAGUCAAUAUUGCUUAAAAAAGUUAGAAAAGGGGAAAAUCUGCCAUAGAACCGCUUCAGUGUGUGUUUAUAUUACGCCACUGCUAAGUGCACAGUUCAAUACAAAACUAUUCAAUUACAUUUUUGUAUAAAACGCCUGCCUGGAAGAAAACGUAUUGCCACUUGUAUCAUCACCGUAGGUUCAUCACUGCUUAUUCACACUAAAGGGGAAAAAAUCCCAAGCUACAGUUGCCACAAGGACACAAUAAAGAUACAGCUUAGAAGUCUUCAGAAUUUUCCACCAAGUGAGAAGAAUCUGCAAGGAGCAUCAUCAGGAAGUACAUGAGGUGUUUGCAGAAGAUUCAGGGGAACAGAGGGGCUUUUUGUUUGCUUGGUUUAGUAACAUUCUAUUGCUCAAGAGGAAUUCAGAAUUGCAACAAUGGUUAAAAAAAACACAAAAAAUACAGAAGCAUAGACUGAAGAGGAAACAGAGACUCAAGAUUCACAGGGUCAACUCAAUGAUUAUUAAAGACAAUUUCCUUUGUGUUGCAUUCCUUUAUACGACAGUUAAUGGAAAGAAGCACAAUUAAUGAAGGGAAGAAAAAACUAUGUGAAUAAAUGAGUAUAUAGGACAGGUUAUGAAAGAAGUAAUCAAGAGCUUGGUAGGCUAACAAGAUGUAAUCAGGGUAUGGAGAGAUGACAUUUUAUCACUUCAGAAACUACCUGCUGACUUCAAAAAAAAUGGAGUCUAUUAUGCAGUAACAUUACUAAUAUGUUAAUUUGAACACUCCUUUCUGCAGCAUGUUAAUGGACAAAUUGAUAGAGGAGAAUGCCAAUUAAAACCUGUAUAUUACAACGCAUGGCAGACCUCACUAUUUGUCAGCAAUCUAAGAAGUCUGCCUGUGCAUCUUGUAACUUGGUAUUCUAAAGAACAUACCAGUUAAAGCAUACCACACUGAUCGAUUAACUGUCAUCACCAGCUCUAAAUGAUCCAAUUUUAACAGAUCUGCAUUUAUCAGAAAGAUAAAGGUUAGUUAAUUUAUGAAAAAGUUUUAGCCAUUCCUCCCCAGGCGACAGAAUCCUAAAACAGAAGGUGUAUACGAAAACUGUAAGCAGACACACACGUAAAACACUUUUGCCCACAGAUCUUUGCACAUUACUUUGCACACACAGCAGUGUGGUUUCAUUACUGUACAAAGUAAAAAUUCCAUACUUGCCAACCUCAGCACCUGAGCUGGAGGAAUUAAGCUACUCUUGCUGGUAUGCAAGUUUUAAUGUAUUUUUUUCUUACCAAAAUUACAGUAGAACAAGUUUGUUCUUGAGUAAUUUUUUACAUGCAACUCCUGAAAAUUCCUAAAGUUUUUUUAAAAAACCAACAAACAUCCAGAAUCCACGUCUGGGAGAGUUCUCUAUGAAUCAGACAGGCCUACUGCCUGAUGCACUGUUGGGUGAAGUUUCUAUUACCAGGAAGGCAGCAGCUCAGACUACUUGAGUACAUCCUGUUGCAUCCUUUUGUCAACUUUGCAACAUCACAGAAUUUAGAAUGUAGCAUGAUUCUAAGAAAGCCUCAAGAUCAGGCUCAGACUUAUAUUAUUGCUUGUACUGUUAUAACUGCUGACAAAAACAUCUUACUUUAGAAGCACGUUUAAUGAGUAGAGACCAGGUAUCAAGUGCUAAAUCCCAUCAGAGACAUUUUCUAAGAAACAAAGCUAUUCUGACUGUUUUAGUACCAGCACCAGUCAUCCACACACAUCAGAUCAUACAUCCACAGCAUUAGUUGCGUUUAUUUUGUAAUGUUUACUUUAUAAAUAAAGCAAAAAUACAUCAAGCUGUCCAAAGAACUACAAGUUUCUCACUGUAAUAUGAACAAUAUCAUUUCAAAGUUACAGAUUUCUAAUCAAUAAAUGCAAAUAAGUAAGGAUGUAACUACACAACAUCGGGGCAUUAGGCAGCAUUAAAACUUGAUGCUUUACUGUUUUUAAAAUCUAACUUUCCUUUAAAUACUUAGUUAAUACUCUUGGGUAUGCUGUUACUGGCAAGAAAAAUCAUAGCUGCAACAUGAAUAAAAGCAUCACGUCAUUAUGCUGAAAUUACCCAAAAAUCUAGCCUUACAAAUCCAGGCAUCCCUAAAAUUUUCUUGAAUUUCUUUUAGGUUGUAAGAAAAACACAUAAUAUCUGGGGUAAAGAAUAUUACCUGUUAUGAUGUCAUAAACACAAAACUAUGACAAACACCAAGACACAGUUCCAGCACUUGUGAAAUGUAAUAAUUUUAUAAGACUCAUGGCCUCAUUGGUUUCUUUUUCCCCUCCUAUGCAGCAAUGACUUGUGCAGCUAGAAAGCACAUGUGAAUGGAAUGCAGAACACUCCCAGAACAGUGGUUGUUUUUUUUAGAAUUGUACAGUUGCAUAUUUACUGAAAGUAUUUGUGACAUAUACUGAGUAAACCCAUACAUCUGAGCAACUGAAAGCCACAGAGGUGGUACUUUAACCAGGUAUAUAAUUUUCUUCAACUCAUGGAAGUUGAUUAUUGCUAUAAUCUUUAACAGGAAUACGUGUCAUCCUUUGUGGAGAGGAAAACAGCUAAUUCAGUUAUCACAAGCAGAAUUCACGGCACGUGAUACAAAGCAUAUAUUGUAUGAUUCUGAAAAGGAUACAUUCAAUCUUCAUUUUAACUAUCCCAAGAUACUUAGGUUGCUCCGAAAGUAAUGCCUCCAUUUACUUCCAAGGAAACUAUAACGGAUACAUAGAGCACAGUGGCACUACUUGACAGAGCAAACUCUCAGCUACAAAACAGUUCUUCUUUACAGUCACCACCAUUAGCUAUGCAUUUUCACCAGCAGUGAACAAAAGCCUGCAUGCUGCGCUCACAAAAAUCUGCACCAGUGAGAAGAACCACUGUUUAUAAAUUGAAUCAACCUCAUUUUUCCCCACCACCACUCAAAAACAGGUCUCUUAUUUCAUCUCUACCCUCAGUUACAGUCUAGCAGAGAUCACAGAAUGCAGAGUGCUGAAGAAUGCAAAACAGAAGACUUCAAAGACCAGCCACUCUGUUACACACUUUCAUGUGUAUUUCUAUGUUAUUCUUCAUCAACAGGAAUAAGAUUCUUACAUUACACUCAUUGCAAGCAAAAAAACCCCAACAAUUUGUGUGUUAAGAUUGCAAAUUUUUCUUCACUAAUAGGAAAUACUUAUAACUAAUACUCUACAGAAUAUAUAUUUUCCCUAUAGAAUAGGGAAAAGUACCAACAAUGGUUUGUAACAAAUCAAUAAAUCCUAGGUGAGGAAAAAAGAAGCAGACAUAAGCAAUUGUAUUCUAGGAGUAGCUUCUUACCUGCUCAUAAUUUAGACGCUGAAUUUCAGAUAUCUCUUUGGGUUUUGCAUCAAGAAUAUAAUCUCCUGAAAAAGGAAAAAUAAAAUCAAGCUUACUCAAGAUUUCUAUGAAUACUUACAACUGAAGCUAACUGAUCAUAAGUAUUUUUUUUUUAUUGAGUGAGAUGCCACUGCUUUAUAUCCUGAAUUAUAAGUAUAGAAUAAAAUGUAAAAAUAUAAAAUAAUAGUGAGGUUAUAUAUUGACAUUACAAUUCAAAUGACAAGCGCAAUUACUAAAACAGCAUUCCAUGAUCACUUUGACUAUCAUGCCAGUCUCCUAAUGAUUCAAAAAUUUACGUUCCCUCUGCACGUCAACUUAAAGAUACAAAUUCAAACCAUUCACAAAAAGAUAAGGAAUUGCGUAAUACAAUUUAACAAACACAAACACUCAUCCUGACUGACACUACAAACAUUUUGGCCUAUGUUUCCACACACUAGUAACUCUGAAAGGCUUGUAUUCCACCUGUGAAGGUUAUUCAUCA